UCUGACGGAGCACGCCGCGUGAGUGAUGAAGGUUUUCGGAUCGUAAAACUCUGUUGUUAGGGAAGAACAAGUACCGGAGUAACUGCCGGUACCUUGACGGUACCUAACCAGAAAGCCACGGCUAACUACGUGCCAGCAGCCGCGGUAAUACGUAGGUGGCAAGCGUUGUCCGGAAUUAUUGGGCGUAAAGCGCGCGCAGGCGGUUCCUUAAGUCUGAUGUGAAAGCCCACGGCUCAACCGUGGAGGGUCAUUGGAAACUGGGGAACUUGAGUGCAGAAGAGAAGAGUGGAAUUCCACGUGUAGCGGUGAAAUGCGUAGAGAUGUGGAGGAACACCAGUGGCGAAGGCGACUCUUUGGUCUGUAACUGACGCUGAGGCGCGAAAGCGUGGGGAGCAAACAGGAUUAGAUACCCUGGUAGUCCACGCCGUAAACGAUGAGUGCUAAGUGUUAGAGGGUUUCCGCCCUUUAGUGCUGCAGCAAACGCAUUAAGCACUCCGCCUGGGGAGUACGGCCGCAAGGCUGAAACUC
rnacentral:rRNA from 1 species